ensembl:lncRNA
UGCUUAUAAAAUUAGGUCAUACAAAUACAUCAUGAUGUAUAAAUGCAUUAUUUUUUUUUUCUUCCCGAAACGUUGUUAUAACACGUCUCACACCCCCUCAUGUAACUAAGUGUUCAGAAUUUCCUCAGGAAACAUUUAGUCGAGUGAGGACAUUUAAUGAUAAGAGUGUUUGUUCCGUUUGGUCCUGAGUUGUUAUGUUACCACAGGCAACAGCAAACAGCACAUGUUUUUACUGUCCCCCGGUCUGAUCUUCAUCUGAUAAUGGGUUCAGUUCAGCUGUAAAGACGGGAUGAAAGACUUUCUUUCAGUAUGAUAAAUCGAACUAUGUCUGGCAUGUGGUGAGAUGAGGGAAUGUUAACAGUUCUUUGACCAUGUUUGAAGAGGGAACCUCUUAUUCACUUCUUCAAACACAUCUGGUUAAUUAUUUCGCAUGCAUCAGAACACUUUCCAGAUUUCUCUUCCUAAAAAUAAUGAAAGGAGAUGGCAGACUGUUGAGACUGGAAUCUGGUUUCAGGAUGACCUCAUGCACCAGCAUCUGGAACACAGUCGGCGAGCGUAGCAGCCAAAGCAAACAAGGGGAAGAACUGGAACAGUCAUGCUGCUUGCGACCCAUUGGUUGAUGCGAUAUGAGGCAACUUGAGAGGCUGUGAGACUUUAAGAGAAAAAUAAUAUGGUGAUACUGAUCAUGUUUUUUGCUCCUUUAUGCUGCUUUUGCAUGCAUUUAAAAAGUUAAUUUUCUUCUAAGGCUUAUAAAAGGGUGUGGUGGAUAUGAUAAAGGCGACCAAAUUAGAAGCUGGGCUAUGACAUCACCUGCUAGUUAGCUCAAACCAUCACUUUUACUGUAAUUACUGCAUUCGAAAACCACAUAGAUGAGCGCACUUGUGCAUAUGCUCUAACCUUGGCCAACAUGGGUCAUCUGAAAUUGGUAUGGUAAUGGAAUCAACCCUGUUAUACAGCUGUUGGCAUGAUCUACAUGCUGAAGAAUGUGGUGAAAGCUUGGAAACAGGAAGCCUGUGAAGCAGCGGUAAGAAAAACAGGCGAGACGGCUGGCCAGCGGCGUAACCCUAGUACCCUUGAUCUACACUCCUAAAUACACUUUCAAAAAGAGGAAACUCAAACAAGACUACCGUCCGUCUCUAGGCAAGUGGGGUUAAUAUGGGGCCACAUUUUUAACCACCAUAUAAUUAUCCUGUUUAUAGUUGUUUAUAAUGUUUCUCUUAAAGGGACCUGACAUUAACAAUAGGUUACUUAUUACAUGACGUUCUGGAAUACUUCAUUUGGUCACGGCAUUAUGCGAUCAAAUAUUUUUUGUGCAACAGGCGGGUUCCAGAAAUUUCUCAAUUUUCUCCAUAGGGGAAUUGGUUUUUAAUGGUAACUCGUUAAAGACAGGCCUACUGUGACCUAUGGGGUUGCUAAUUGAUGGUAUAUGCUUUUGUUGAAGCCGCCAGUGUCCAUUAUUUCAACAUAUAUAUAUAUUUUUUUUUUAAAUAUUAAUGUUUAACUGUGGGAUUCCUGGUGAAAAACUACAUUACCCAUGACUCUAAAAAAUCUCCACCAAUCAGAGAAUCAAAACAAGUUAAUCACACCAAAAGAGCAUCAACCCACUCCUAUAUGAUCCUGCCCUAACAAACUACUUAAAUAUUUGUAUAUUUUUUCUAAAUACAUAAUCAACAAAUUAAUAGUUCUAUGUUUUCUCCAUUUUGAUUUGCAGUGCUUCAUGGGAUUGUAGUUCUUUCUCUAAAUAAAGCCGUUGAGUUUACGAGUUGACUUUUCUGU